rnacentral:rRNA from 1 species
GAUGAACGCUAGCGGGAGGCUUAAUACAUGCAAGUCGAGCGGUAAGGUUUUCGGACCCUAGAGCGGCGAACGGGUGAGUGACGCGUACGAAACCUACCUUUAAGAGAGGAAUAGCCCUGGGAAACUGGGAGUAAUACCUCAUAGUAUUCAUUAACCGCAUGGUUUAUGGAUUAAAGCUGCGGCGCUUAAAGAUGGUCGUGCGUCUGAUUAGCUAGUUGGUGAGGGUAAUGGCCUCCCAAGGCGACGAUCAGUAGCUGGUCUGAGAGGAUGAUCAGCCACACUGGAACUGAGACACGGUCCAGACUCCUACGGGAGGCAGCAGUGAGGAAUUUUCCGCAAUGGGCGAAAGCCUGACGGAGCAAUACCGCGUGGAGGAGGAAGGCCCGUGGGUCGUAAACUCCUUUUCUCAGAGAAGAACACAAUGACGGUAUCUGAGGAAUAAGCAUCGGCUAACUCCGUG